ACCACUCGCAGGUACACAAACUUCUCUCUUCUUUCAUGAUAUCGAAUGUUGGAUUUGUCCUGGUCCUGCUGAAUCAUAUUUUUCAUUGGAAAAUUUGGGCAUGAGAAGGAAAAAAAAUAUUUGCACCAGCUCUGGCGUGUGCCACAUGUUUGACAGGCAUAUACCAUGGGAUUCGAUGAAGAAGAGGAGCAGGUGUUGUUCACGGUCGUCGCUGAAGCGCCUAGGCCCUAGCAGCUGACUCUGAGAAGCAUUUGGCAUGUACCAAGGUAUCAAGACCUCCUCUUUCUUGCUUCUGAUGUUGUCCCUCCAAUCCUUUGUUUUACUCAGGACAUGAUGUUCCCAACUCACUCUCACUUGGGAGUUCUUAUCUGCCCUAUAGAGUAUAGACUGGUUAUGUACGAAAGAGACUCUGGAAGGGUUGAUUUAGUUUUUGCUGAUUUUGAAAACUAACACUACUGCUGAGUUCCUAAAGUCAUUUGGCAGGGAUUCUAUUUUGGGCUCAAUUGAAUCCAAGGUGUACAAGGUAGUCUGUUUUGCCAAUGCCAUCAGGUGGCUUUCGGUUCACCGGCCACGCGACCAACUGUAAAACUAUAGCUGGAAACCAUGUCUAGGAGGCAGGCAUAUGUGAGUCUAACAAUUGUGUCCAAUUUCAGUUUGCUAGCAAUUUUGCAACUGUUGUGUAGACCUUUUCAGCCAAGCGAAUAUUUUGAAUAUAUGUGCACAUAAGGGCCUAAAAAAGAAAAUCACUAGAGGAUUGGAGCUCUAAUAUGCAAGGAGAAGUUUCUUUCCAUGCUGGAGAUCAGUGUUGGAACCCCAGUCUUCCGCGAAGAUGCCCUUCAUAAAACCAAUGCUAACUGUUGAGCAGAUCAAUCAUGAUAGAUGUUUGAGUAAAUGAACCAGCAUAGGAUCUACUUUUGGUGGAAUGAUGGGCAGAGUUCACCAAUCAUCAACCCAGAAGGCUCUUUGGUACAACAGCAUUAACACUCUUGAAAGUGAUAAAGAAUGCAUGAGCACAAAGGUGCUGCUCAUUAAGUUGUGAUAUAUAAUGAUUGUAAUGGAAGCAAGUUGGUCAUUCCGUACUGUUUUGCUUAGUGCACAUGACAUAAACUUAUUCAGAUCAUGGACUUACGGGCAAAAUGUGUGAAGCCAGUCAAUGCGGAAACAGUUCUUUGGUGCCCUGUGCUUUUUUUCUUCACAUGCCUCUCUCGGUUUUAGUUACUAAUAGGUCAGAUUUUUUGAGAGAGAUGCACAAGGUCAUGGAGCCAAGGAACUGUGCCCUUUCUGCUAGAGAAAGGUGUGUGGGUUGUGGACCUGUGUUCUAUUUUCUUACCAUAUUACCAUAUGAUAUGUCCUUUUCACUAAACAUGUUGAUCAUUAUAUUGUUAUCCUAACUUUAUACACUCAAACCGAAUGUAUUUCAGUUUUGUGACAUAUGCAGAAUUUUAAAACAAUUUGGCUCCAACAUGUUGGCCACCCUGCCGCAAACCAUGUUAGUUCUUUAUGGCCUGGUUAGGUUUUGCUUGAAUGUUCUUCAGACAUGCAAUUAUUGUCUGAAGCAUGAAAUUGAGUAGAAAAUUGCAUGUUUGACACUCUAUGCAACACUGCGAGGUGCCUCUCUCACUCUUCCACGAAUGAUGGUUAGCUUGCACUCCCUGGUCCUUGCUCCUUCUUUUGGUUCAGACAUUCAGAUAUCUCCUGAACCUUCUCUGUCAGUAGUAAGGCAAUGGGGUUAAAGUGUCAUAGGAGUGCUUGCCACUUCUUUGCAUUGGUUGGUCACAUUGUUUCCACAACUUCCGGCGAACAUACGUUAACCCAAAUUGAAUCAUCAGAUCAGAGUAAUAUGCAUAGUCCUACGCAAAUU